CCUCUAGAAGGCGGACCCUCUGAGUGGCAGUUCUUUCCUAUUUCCCAUGCCCUCUCUGCUCUCCAAGAAGAUGGUCCACUCACUUUCUGCAUCCUGAUCGUGGCCAGCCUUACAGGAGCUAUGGUUUCCCAUGGGGGUUUCCUGACUGGUGGUCUAGUGUGUUGCAGGUCCAGCCCUGACCAGCUCUCAAGAUGGCUGCUGCUCCUCCAGCCAUGAUGUCACCAUGCAAAAGGAAGAAAGCAGAAUCCCCAAAACGGCAUGAAUAGAAUCCACUACUUUUUAUAACUUUUCCUGGAAGCGUUCACCCAGUGACUCAUCUGUUGGCUUCAUCUAUUGGCUACAAUGUAUCACAUGACUUCCUAGCUACAAAGGGAUCUGGGAAGCUUGAACGUCCCAUCUGCCAUCAAACUACAACAAGUAUAAAGAGAGGAGUUGACAAAGCACCCGGGGACAGGGCCCCAUGCCACCCCAAGAUACUACAUUAGGAGGGCACCCACACAGAGAGACCCAGCUGGCCCCCUCGGUCAAUGAACUAAGUGAGUUACUGAACAUUAUAAGUGGUUCUUCAGAUGGUUCUGGACUCUUACUAAGGUCCUGGCACUGUGAACAAGAUAGUCCUGCUACGUUAAACUCCUGACCUUGGAAACCUUGCUGAUGUUGCUGAUGGCCCGCCCUCUCGGAACAGCUCCUCCACGCUGGCAGGUUCCUUCUCCUCCAGGAAGCCCUACGUAAAGCCUCAGACUCCUUGGGACUUCAGACCCCCUUCAUCACAGCCUUUGUACAUGGUGGAUGGUGUCCUGUCACCCUGAUUGCAUGCCUGGCCAGGAGCUGUUCUUCUACCCCAGGGCCCUGCGCCUCACCCAGCCCUCCAGUACUACAGUCACCAAGAGGGCCUAGGAGGAAAAGUCCUUCAAAGGGAGGAACCGACACUUGAGCCCCACAAAGUUGUCCUAACUCUGCUCAGCAUAUGGCACACCACAAGACUUCACUGAAACACAGGACUCCUUGAUACUGACCCAUGGUUGGCUGGAGGGAGAGCCCAGCCUUCUCAGUAAUGCUAACUUCAUCAGCAUCUCUGCGAACCAGUUUCAUCAGCUCACCAAGACACUCGCUGACUCAAUUGAUGAUCCCUCUCCUACUGUACACAUUCUUCUCCCUAGACUCCUCCCUCAUUCUGUCUGAGAUUCACUCAUCCAUCCACCGCCUCCCUCCCACCUUCCUUCCUUCCUUCCAUUCCUUGCUUUGUGGCUGCUCAGGGUGUCGAGAACCUAGAGAACACUGAUACCUAGACUGUGCCCCCACCACCACCACUUUUUCGAUUCCUCUCCUGCUUCUGGCUCCCCGCUGCCCUUUUGAUGGCUUUUUCUCCUCUCUGCUCCCCUCCACAGAGCACAAGAGCUGAUGGUGGCUAGAGGGGAGGCCUUUGCCAGGGGCACUUAGGAGAGGGAAAGGUGCUGAACUGACCUGAUAAAUGAACUAGUGGAGAUGUGUGGCCUGGCUCCCCCACCCCUUUGAUCGAAAGCCGCUGAACCCCUGAUGACAUCCCAUGGCGUAUUCCUCUAUUAAUCAGCAAAGCCUUGACAGAUGUAAGCAAUUUGUCUUUGGAGAGGCCUGGAGGGGGGCGUGUGGGAGCUGAGCUCAGCCAUCAGGAUAGAGAGAUGCGGAGGGGAAGGCCUGAGAUGGGGGCUGCAUACAUGCAUACUAAGAAGGCAGGAGCAGGAGAAACCAGGCAGAUCAGAAAGGGGAGCGUUUUCAUUUCAAAGCAUAUUUCUCCCUUGAUUGAAUGGCCCCCCCAACUACUACCGCCAAACCAAGAUGCUGGAAUCAGGCUGAGAUCCAGGGGUUAAUCCUACCCAGGCCCUGUGGAGCCCAGAAGCAUGACUCAGUGGGCUCAGUGCUCGGUUUCAGGGUGGUGCUCUCAUCCUCAGGACCCCGAGCUUGCCAGGAGCUUCUGGCUGAGGCUGGUACUACACAGCUUGUAGGCACCACACACCUUAAUGAGUCUGCCAUGUGCGCAGAGGCCAGGAGCUGGGCACUGGGGAGUCAUAGGAGAAGCAACAUGAGCUCAGCAAACCCCUGGUCUAUAAGGUAGCUCUGAAACCCCAUCUGAAGUCAUGGAGUACAGGGUUUCUGGACAAGAAGUGACCAAAAAUAAUUUAAAAUCAAAUGCACAACGAAUCAGGCAUUUCUGGCGGUGCUCGCCUAUGUGGUAUCCAUGCCAUGUCACUGGUUCCAAGCACACUAUUUGCCCACCUUGAGCCGUGUAUGCCACCUUGCCAUGAAAUGCUGACAAAUACUGCCUGAAACAGCCUGGCUUAGAUGUGAGACUAGUGUGUGUGUUAUUUCAGAUAUAAAGCUUUCUGUUUUUAUAGAACCAUAGUGGCCUGAUAACCGAAAUGGGCAUUUUAUGCAGGCAUGCAUGUAUGUGUAUGCAGGUGAGUGUGAAAGCAGGUACAGGUACAUGUGGGUAUGUGUGUAGAUGCGUGUAGGAAUAUGUGCAGGUGCACAUGGAUAUGUGUGCAAAUACAUGCGGGUGCAUGUCAAGGCCAGAGGACGACUUCAGUCAGGUGUCAUCCUCAAAACACCAUCCACCUCCUUAGGAGACAGGGUGUAUAUAUUUUUUUAACAACCUACUUUAAUAAGGGUUCAACCUCCCCUUUAGCCCAGCACCCACCAAAAGGUAAUAGAAAAUAAAGGUUAUUAGGAUAUGGA